UACGUAGGGUGCAAGCGUUAAUCGGAAUUACUGGGCGUAAAGGGCGUGCAGGCGGUUUGUUAAGUGCAGGGUGAAAGCUCCCGGCUCAACUGGGAGAGGUCCUUGCAUACUGGCGAACUCGAGGGAGGCAGAGGAAAGUGGAAUUCCGGGUGUAGCGGUGGAAUGCGUAGAGAUCCGGAAGAACACCAGUGGCGAAGGCGGCCUGCUGGGCAGUUGCUGACGCUGAGGCGCGACAGCGUGGGGAGCAAACAGG
rnacentral:rRNA from 1 species